GCAAACUUGGUCAUUUAGAGGAAGUAAAAGUCGUAACAAGGUUUCCGUAGGUGAACCUGCGGAAGGAUCAUUAACAAAAUUGUUAUCCAAUAUUCACCUUGUGUGCAAUUUUGCAUAAUAUCCUUUGGAAAGAUUAUUCUAUUAUUUAUAGUAAUAGUAAUCUUUCCAAAGAGGUUAUUAUAAUCAAUCUAUUUUUUCUUUUCUUUAUAAUGUCUAAAACUAAAAUAUUUAAAAUAACUUUCAACAACGGAUCUCUUGGUUCUCGCAUCGAUGAAGAACGCAGC
rnacentral:misc_RNA from 1 species